rnacentral:rRNA from 1 species
GAUGAACGCUGGCGGCGUGCCUAAUACAUGCAAGUCGAACGGAACUUCUUUAUCACCGAGUGCUUGCACUCACCGAUACAGGGUUGAGUGGCGAACGGGUGAGUCACACGUUGGCAACCUGCCCAAAAGAGGGGGAUAACACUUGGAAACAGGUGCUAAUACCGCAUAACCAUAGUUACCGCAUGGUAACUAUGUAAAAGGUGGCUAUACUACCGCUUUUGGAUGGGCCCGCGGCGCAUUAGCGAGUUGGUAGGGUAAAGGCUUACCAAGGCAAUGAUGCGUAGCCGAAGCGAGGGGGUGAUGGGCCACAUUGGGACUGAGACACGGCCCUAAGUCCUACGGGAGGCAGCAGUAGGGAAGCUUGCACGAUGGGCGAAAGCCUGAUGGAGCAACGCCGCGUUGGUGAAGAAGGUCUGCGUAGCGUAAAACCCUGUUGUUGGUGAAGAAAGUGCGUGAGAGUAACUGUUCACGUUUCGACGGUAUCUAAACAGGAAGCCACGGCUAACUACGUG